UUUAAUUGAAGAGUUUGAUCAUGGCUCAGAUUGAACGCUGGCGGCAGGCCUAACACAUGCAAGUCGAGCGGUAACAGGGGAAGCUUGCUUCCCGCUGACGAGCGGCGGACGGGUGAGUAAUGUAUGGGGAUCUGCCCGAUAGAGGGGGAUAACUACUGGAAACGGUGGCUAAUACCGCAUAAUCUCUUAGGAGCAAAGCAGGGGAACUUCGGUCCUUGC
rnacentral:rRNA from 1 species